AUUCACGAAUUAAUUCGGCCGUUUAUUUUCAUUUCAUGUUUUUGCUUUCUCUCUCUCUUCGCAACGACUCCAUCAGUCCAUCUAGAAAAGAAACCAGAUCUAGAAAAAUUAAAUGAAAAUUAUGCAAAAUCGAACCUAAAAUUGAGUUUUUGAUUGUGCAAGUACAUGAAUGAGAUCAAUUUAACAGAGAAAUAAAAAAAAAAAACCCUGAAUAAUUAGAUUUUAUAAGUCGAUUUCUUAACGAGUUACUGUCUUCUUCAACAACAAAAGUUUGAAGAUUCAAAAUCAAAGUUUGAGCCAGUAGAUUAGAAAAUUUGAUGGGAGGAGGUGGAGGUGGAGGUGGCGGUUGCAGAGAAGGAAAUGGUGGUGGAGAAAACGAUGGAUAUGGUGGAAUUCACAAAUCCAGAUAAGGCGAUUUGUAUUCGAUUUGGAGGUAAUGGUGAAUAUCAAGGUGGAGGAGAUCAUGGCAGUGGACGUGGGCGGUGGAAGUGGCAGGGAUACGGUAAUUGGAUGUGCCCUAAUUCAAGGUACGUUGAUUUAUCGUGAUGGUUGGGGUUUAAGCCCUCAUGGUGCAGGGUUCUUGUUUGGUGGAAACGUGGUUAAAUCAUGCAAACAAUUUGGAUCACAUUUUGCUGUGCUCAUCAGUUAGUGAUGGAUGGAUGUUUAACAACCAGAAGUAUAGUUCGUUCCAAAUUAUUGUUCUAGGUUUGUAUUUAUUUUUUUGUUUGUCCAUCUAUGCCAUGUUAUUGGAAGAAAUACAUUUAUAUGGUUGUACUUUGUGGGUUCUUUGAUUGUGUCCAGCUAUUACUGGAUAUUAUUGGAGACACCAAGCAUACUCUACAAAUAUCGCAUUAGAGGUACAAAAUUAGAAACACUAUAUUAGUUAAUUAAGACAGAAAUGAUUCCAUUUUGAACUCUCUCAAAUUAUCUCAAGUUUAUAGUACCUUGUUUUUAGUUC